rnacentral:rRNA from 1 species
UACGUAGGGGCCGAGCGUUGUCCGGAGUUACUGGGCGUAAAGCGCACGUAGGCGGUUCGUUAAGUCAGAUGUGAAAGCCCCCGGCUCAACCGGGGAAGUGCAUCUGAAACUGGCGAGCUAGAGUACGAAAGAGGGUCGCGGAAUUCCCGGUGUAGAGGUGAAAUUCGUAGAUAUCGGGAGGAACACCGGUGGCGAAGGCGGCGACCUGGGUCGAUACUGACGCUGAGGUGCGAAAGCGUGGGGAGCAAACAGG